rnacentral:lncRNA from 1 species
AACAACACAAAUAAGUUCACAUGUCUCAUAAAUAAGUCCACAUGUCUUACAAAUAAGUCCACAUGUCUCACAAAUAAGUUCACAAAGAUCACAAUAUAUCACCGACAAUACAUAUCUCACAAAUAAGUUCACAAACGACGCACGCAAUUAGGCUCAGUUGGUGAAACAUGAGGAUCAUUCGAUGCCGCCGAUUGAUUCUGCAAAAAUGAGAAGGCAUUACAUGUGUGAGACAAGAUAAAUAUAUAUUAUAUUUAAUGAAAACUUUCAUACUCUACUAGGUUUCAAUUAGUGCAGUGGUUUGACCCUAAGCAUGAACAUACAAACUAAAACAGUCAUACUCACAGGAGUGGAAAACUGAGAUGGAGGUGGAUUUGGAGUGAAUAGCGAAGGUGGUGGAGCUACACCCGUUGCAGACUGUAUGUAAUGAAGAAUGUCCUCCGUCCUCUGCUGCUCGGACCUCAUCCUCGCAUCCAACUCCAAACGUUGCC